rnacentral:rRNA from 1 species
AUGGCUCGUGGCGAUCAUCAAAACGAUGAUGAUGAUUUCAUGGAUCCUCCACAGCAUAAUCGGGCAACUGGACGGAGAAAAGAGGGUGAUGAGAAGACGAAACGUAUUCGCAACAGAGCCUCCCAAGAACGACUGACUGCGUUGACUGACAAAUUCACCGACGAUCAGAAGGGGGCUGCUGCUGAGAUGGGUAUGCAGUCUAUGAUGGAUGUCCGGUGCACGAACCUUGUCAACCCUGUAUGCGACUGGCUUGGUGAGAUCUACGACCCCGCCUCCAGGGAAUUCGUGAUUCCGGGACGUGGAAGACUACCGUUGAACGAGGAAUCCGUGUUCUGCACUUUGGGUGUGCCUCAUGGACAUAUCAAAGUCCCGUACGAGGUCAACAAUGAGAUCGAGGAAGCGAUGUUCCCCCGUUUAUUUCCUGGGUCGGAAUCCAUGCCGAACACGUCUGCAGUGGCAGAUUCGCUGCAGACCAUGACGACGCAUGGAGAUGUUUUCAAGAUGAAGCUACUCAUGUACCUCAUCUCAGCUGUUUUUGCGCUGACCACCUCUCUCGCCCAAGCAACAAAUGCUUCCCCAUCCUGGCGGAUCUGGAAAAUGUGA